AGAGGGAGAGCGAGAGACACAGAGAGUGUGAAGAAUUGGAGGGGGAAGAAGACGAGUCCUGCACCUCCCGGCGCCUACCUCCGUCGCUGCCGCCCACCUCCGUUGUCGGUCUCUUUUCCAUCGCCGGCCAACAGCCUAGCAUCGCCACCGCCACCGACACCACAACUGCUCUAGCGCCACCGCCGCCAGGAGUGCUGCUGCGCUGCGCUGCACCGCCACCGCCACUGCUGCCGCGCGGUGAAACACCGUCACCGCCUGCCACCACCGCACUUCCGGACCGCCACCGCAACUUCCGGACUGCCGCUGCCGAUUGCCCCCGCCCCCGCUCCCGCCCCCACCCCCGUAAACAGUCAAACACAGGACUGGCAUGGAUAUCAACUCUGGUUGUCAGGGCCCUGCUAUGUUACAGUUGCACAAAUGGGACACCACCGAAACCCAACUCAACCUAUCAGAAUUUCGUGAAGCUUUUAUUUCCCCCACAAGGCAGCUACUAUUAUUGCUUUCAUACCGUUGUGAAGUUUUGCUGCUUCCUUUAGUUAAAGGGGAAUCGGAUUCUAAGGCUCCUGGAUGCAGUUCUUAUGGAAAUCUUCAGGCUCCAAGUUCCUCGGCUUCCUGUUCAACGGGGUUGACAGCACCUAUUAGGUCAGAUUUAGGGGAGGAUAUUUCAAGAACUCCUAAGUCAACGAAGAUGGUUUCUAAUAAUGAUUUUUCUCUUGAAAUUAGUUUUCCAAGAUCUAAUAAUUACCCUUUUGUUUGUGAUGUUAACUCACUGGCUUGGGGUGUAUGUGGGGACUCCUAUAAUCAGCAUGAGCAAGCUCCUUUUAGAGAACUUCUUUUUAUCUGUGGCAACCAUGGUGUGACAGUCCAUGCCUUCCGUGGACCAAACAGUUUCCAUGAAAUGGCUACUACCAUAGUGGGGGGUGAGAUUGGAGAGGGGAGGUGGGUGGAAUGGGGACCAUCUACUACAUUAGCCCACAACAUGGAGGCAGUGGGUGACUUUGCCUCAUGUAAUGAAACCUAUAAAGAUGUUAUUGAUGUUAAAAGGACCAAUGGAACUGGGGAAUGUCAAAGUGGCCUACGAAUGGAAGCUGGGGAAGAUGAGCUAUCCAGAACUGUUGCUCCAAAGAGAUGGUUGCAAACAUUUUUGGCCAAAGUUGGCACUGUGAAAUUGGAUGGUAAUGUUUGGACUAGAUACCCUGAGACAACCUCUGUUCCCUCCUCUGCGAUGGUUGUUUCAUUCAGUAUUUUUGAUAGUAGUUUUCCUCUUCUUGACUUCUUGACUGAUACUAAUUCAGUAUCACAUAAAAGUGAGGUCUGCAGUAAAUCUGUUCCAGAUCUAGCAAAUAGUGCAUUUGCAAAGCAAGGUUUUUCAUCCAGUAUAUCAAUCGAACCCAAUGUUAAGUCCACUGAGAUUGAUUCUGGGAUGACCAGUUCAUACAAAUGCUUGAAACUUUUCUCUAGUAAUUCUCAUCACUUAGUUGGGUUUGCUUUAACAUUGGCAUCUGUCAAUUCCAAUGGUAUCAAUGAAACAAACUGGGGAAAAAUUUUACUUCUGGUUGCAAAGGUGGGAAGCUGCGGAAUACAGUGGGUUUGCUCAGUGAAGCUAGAUCAAAGCGUAAAUAGUGCGCUGGAUGGUGACUGGACAGACUUUGGGUUUUCUGACAAUUUUCUUAUUUGCCUGAAUGCAGCUGGAAAAGUGUUUUUCUAUGGUGCCAUAACAGGUGAAUAUGUAGCCCAUGUGGAUAUUUUACGAAUAUGUGGGCUUCACCAUCAAUUAAUUUCUGAGGAGCAAGAAAAAUUGUUUAAGGAAGGUGAUGUGGCUCCCAGAAGUGUUGAUAUCCUAAAUGAUCUAGACAGUGUUAAUGAUAGACCUUCUUGCAGAAAUGGUGAUUUCUUCAGUAAAAGGAUGUUUAGAAGGCUGCUUAUUGCUGGACAUACUUCAGUAUUAGCUGUAAUUGAUAACUAUGGUGUUAUCUAUGUUAUAUUAGCUGGUGAUCAUAUUCCAACAGAGUAUCAUUCAUCUGAGAAACAGCUUCCACAUUUUCAGCAUUUAGGGCUUGGAAUAUUGGUUGGUUGGGAUAUUGGUGGUGCGGAUAUAAGCCAUCAAAGGUCUUAUUCUAAUAUAUUUGGAUCUUAUGAGGAAAAUAUGUCAUCCUUAAGGAAUACAAGUUCUUCUUACAUUCACCACAUGAACAGUAAUGUGCUUUCUGGAAUCAAGAACAGCUCUCUGAAAAAGGAAGGGGCUCACUCUGAGUCAUGUCUGAGUGGUUUCUAUGGUGCAUCCCAGAUAACAGAUAACAAGUUCUCCAGCCAUGAACCAUUAUCAUAUUAUCUGAGAAAAAUCUUUCUUCCCAUGCAAAAGUUUAGUGAAGAUGAUAUUGUUUGUUUUUCACUUUUUGGAGUCACGCGGCUAAUUAAAAAGGGAAAUGGGGUUUCUCAAAUUGUUCACUCUAGUUUGCACAUGGACUCUGCAGUAAAUGAUGAUAGAUACUCUAAUGUUGCUGGUUUGGAAGCUUUUGUUGGGGAAGCAAUUGGUUGCACUUUCCAGGGAUGUUUUUAUUUGGUGACCCAAGGAGGUCUUUCAGUGGUUCUCCCCUCAUUGUCAAUUUCCUCAAAUUUCCUUCCUGUUGAAGCAAUUCAGUACCCACAAUUAAUUUUUAGUACGAGAUCAGGGCAUCAAUUUGGAGAUCUUCUCACAGCAAAAGGAUUGGAACAACCUUGGGCACCUUGGAGAGUAGAAGUUUUAGAUAGAGCCCUUCUAUAUGAAGGCCCUGAAGAGGCAGAUCGCUUAUGCUUGGAAAAUGGAUGGGACUUGAAGAUUUCUCGGCUACGUCGCUUGCAGUUGGCUUUGUACUACUUGAAAUUUGAGGAGAUUGAGAAGUCCCUCAAAAUGCUUGUGGGUGUUGAUCUUGCUGAAGAAGGUGUUUUGAGAUUGCUCUUUGCUGCUGUUCAUCUGAUUUCUCAUAAAGAUCGCAAUGAUAAUGAAGUUUCUGCUGCAUCAAGACUUCUAGCACUGGCCACCAGCUUUGCAACCAAAGUUAUACGUAAAUAUGGGCUGAUGCAGCACAAGAACGAUACAUUCAUAUUACAAAUUAAUGAGCGAAUACAAAAUUCCUCCUUUUCAGUAUUAUCCGAUGGUGAACUUAAUGAAAUGGGAAACUGGAGAAGGCUUAGAGAGAUGGCACACUUUUUGGAGAUCACACGAAAUCUGCAACAUCAGCUUAAUGCCAAAUUCAAAAGGGCAGGUCAAGGAUUGGUGGGUGGUGUGGGAGCAUUAAGUGUGGUAGAUUCAAAUCUAUCACAGGAAAUCUCAGAGGUUUCAACUGGUGUGUCAUUGUUGGAGACAAUGAAUCAUCACGAACUUUGUAACACUGCACCUGAUGUGGACGUCAACAAUGAUGACAAGCUUGCUUUAAUGCCCAUAGAUUCUUUGAACUCUAAAGCAUAUCUGAAUUCAGCAACUGGAAUAUAUGUUCCUUUAUCUGAAGGAAAUGCCUCAGUAAAAAAAUUAUUUCCAUUAGAAAAUCCGAAGGAUAUGAUAGCUCGUUGGGAAAUAGAUAAUUUGGACCUAAAAACUAUUGUCAAAGAUGCUUUACUUUCUGGCCGUCUUCCUUUAGCCGUUCUUCAGUUGCAUCUUCAUCGAAUGAGAGAUAUGGCCAUUGACAAAGAGAGGCAUGAUACUUUCACUGAAGUUCGUGAUGUCGGAAGAGCUAUUGCUUACGAUCUAUUUUUGAAGGGUGAAAUUGAACUUGCUGUAGCAACAUUGCAUAAACUUGGGGAGAACAUUGAAAUCAGUCUUAAACAGCUGGUUUUUGGUACCAUGAGGAGAUCUCUUCGCUCACAAAUUGCUAAGGAAAUGGAAAAAUAUGGAUACCUUGGACCGUAUGAGUGGAAAAGUUUGGAGAAGAUUUCACUUAUUGAGAGUGUGUACUCAUGCAGUAGUUUCUGGAGAACAUUCCACAGCCGGUGGAAUGAGCACAUGAGAAUCCCGAGUGUACUUUCAGAAGGAGAAAUUACAUUAUGCUUUCCACAUUUGCAUUCUUUCAAAGAUCAAAUCAUUGAGUGUGGUGAGAUUGAUGGAGUUGUACUGGGUUCAUGGGCAAGUAUUGAUGAAAAUUCUUUUACUCCUAUGCCUGAUGAGGAUGUUAACCAUGCUGCUUACUGGGCAGCUGCUGCAAUCUGGUCUGAUGCUUGGGAUCAAAUAACGGUUGAUCGGGUAAUACUGGAUCAACGUUUUCUUGUGGAUGUUCAUGUAUUAUGGGAAUCACAACUUGAGUACCACAUAUACCGCAAUGAUUGGGUUGAAGUGUCCCAGCUUUUAGACAUGAUUCCAUCAUCUUCAUCAUCUGAGGGAAUCCUCCAAGUCAGUUUGGAUGGUUUAAGAUCUGCUUCACCUGAUUCAAGUAGUGAUUAUCCAGACUAUCACAAUUAUAUAUGUCCUCCUGAAGAUCUGGACACUGUCUGCAUUAAUGUUCCCGAUGUCAAAAUAUUCAUGUUUUCGGCUAAUAAUAUGUGCUCCACAUGGUUACACACUCUCAUGGAGCAGCAGCUUGCUACCAAAUAUAUUUUUCUCAAGGAUUUCUGGGGAGGCACAUCAGAGAUAGUGUCUCUCCUGGCAAGAUCAGGUUUUGCAUCUAGUUUACAUGAGCUUUCAUUGGAUGAAUCUGCUGAGAAUACCUACGCAAAUAUGCCAAAUGCUAGUGGAGAACAUCACCUUGCCACCGUCCGAGCUUUACAUAAACUCUUCAUGCAUCAUUGUGUGCAAUAUAAUUUGCCAAACCUUCUAGACCUUUACCUCGACCACCAUAAGUUGGUUCUAGAUAAAGAUUCAGUUCCUGGAUUCCUGGACUCUGCUAUAGAUAGUCAAUGGGCAAAGUGGUUGCUCUUCUCGAGAGUUAAAGGGCUUGAGUAUGAAUCAUCUUUUUGCAAUGCUCGUUCAAUCACAUCACUCAAUUUAAUUCCUGGUAAUAAUCUUGGUCUACUGGAGAUUGAUGAUAUGA